rnacentral:rRNA from 1 species
UAAUACAGAGGGUGCGAGCGUUAAUCGGAAUUACUGGGCGUAAAGGGCGCGUAGGUGGUUACUUAAGUCAGAGGUGAAAUCCCCGGGCUUAACCUGGGAAUUGCCUAUGAAACUGGGUAGCUAGAGUACAGGAGAGGGAAGUGGAAUUUCCGGUGUAGCGGUGAAAUGCGUAGAUAUCGGAAGGAACACCAGUGGCGAAGGCGACUUCCUGGCCUACUACUGACACUGAGGCGCGAAAGCGUGGGGAGCGAACAGGAUUAGAUACCCUGGUAGUCCACGCCGUAAACGAUGAGAACUAGAUGUUAGUUGGCUUAGACCAAGUAGUAUCGUAGCAAACGCGAUAAGUUCUCCGCCUGGGGAGUACGGCCGCAAGGUUA